rnacentral:rRNA from 1 species
UGCGAGUCGAGAGUCUUAGGGACUCGGUAGACGGGUCAGUAACACGUAGAUAAUCUGCCCUUAGGUAGGGGAUAACCUCGAGAAAUUGAGAAUAAUACCCUAUAGGUCUAAGAUGCUGGAAUGUUUUUAGAUUGAAAGCUCCGGCGCCUAAGGAUGAGUCUGCGGCCUAUCAGGUUGUAGUGAGUGUAACGGACUCACUAGCCGACGACGGGUACGGGCCCUGAGAGGGGAAGCCCGGAGAUGGACUCUGAGACACGAGUCCAGGCCCCAAGGGGCGCAGCAGCUACGAAAACUUCACAAUGUGGGAAACCGCGAUGAGGGAAUUCCAAGUGCUGCAGUUUAACUGUAGCUGUUUACUUGCCUAAAAAGCAAGUAGAGUAAGGGCUGGGUAAGACUGGUGCCAGCCGCCGCGGUAAUACCAGCAGCCCUAGUGGUGAUCGUUUUUAUUGGGCCUAAAGCGUCCGUAGCCGGUUUGGUAAACCCUUGGGCAAAUCGAGCAGCUUAACUGUUCGAAUUCUGAGGAGACUGCCAGACUUGGGACCGGGAGAAGUUGGAAGUACUUUUGGGGUAGGGGUGAAAUCCUGUAAUCCCAAAAGGACUACCGGUGGCGAAGGCGUCCAACUAGAACGGGUUCGACGGUAAGGGACGAAGCCCUGGGUCACGAACCGGAUUAGAUACCCGGGUAGUCCAGGGUGUAAACGCUGCAGGCUUGGUGUUGGGGGUCCUACGUGGGCGUCCAGUGCCGAAGAGAAGUUGUUAAGCCUGCCGCCUGGGGAGUACGAUCGC